rnacentral:rRNA from 1 species
GACGGAGGAUGCAAGCGUUAUCCGGAAUGAUUGGGCGUAAAGCGUCCGCAGGUGGCAGUUCAAGUCUGCUGUCAAAGACCGGGGCUUAACUUCGGAAAGGCAGUGGAAACUGAACAGCUAGAGUAUGGUAGGGGCAGAGGGAAUUCCUGGUGUAGCGGUGAAAUGCGUAGAGAUCAGGAAGAACAUCGGUGGCGAAGGCGCGUCUGCUGGACCAUAACUGACACUCAGGGACGAAAGCUAGGGGAGCGAAUGGG